CCUCCUUCGUCACAUCCUCUUUCCAUGCUCUCCUCGCUUCGAGAAUCUUCUCCACACGAUGAGAGCUAAGUGGAGGAAGAAGCGUAUGCGCAGACUGAAGCGUAAAAGGAGGAAGAUGAGGCAGAGGUCUAAGUAAGCCCUCAUCGCUGCAGCUGUGAUCCCGUCCGAGCCCCUCCAGACGACUGACACGUGUGGACUGUGGAGCUGCAACCAGUGACGCAAGGCCCAACCCUGUUUUCAGAGGACAGCACCACUCAUGGAUGUCUGACUGGAAGACGGCAAAGACGCUGGACCGGUUUUGCAACAUCAGAACGGCAGCUGCAAUGUUCAUGGACCAUUACACAUACUGUUUGCCAACAACUGUCAUGUGGUGUUUUGAACAAUAAAUCAACACUGUUUAAAAGUUUA